CAGGAUGAGCGACGCGGCAACGAUCACCCAGGCCGCCGCUGCCCGGCUGGGUGGGUCGGGCCGAUCGCCAGCCAUGUUCGGUUCGUGGCGUUCCAUC
rnacentral:tRNA from 1 species